UACCUCAAAAUUCCGCAACAGUCUGUUUCAUCAGUAAAGAAUCAUCAGGCGGUAUGAUGAUUCUUUAUAUGAUGAAACAGACUGUUGCCUGAUGAUUUUUUACUGAUGAAACAGACUGUAUAAUACCGCUUGAUGAUUCUUUACUGAUGAAACAGACUGUUGCGGAAUUU